AUUGAACGCUGGCGGCAGGCCUAACACAUGCAAGUCGAGCGGUAGAGAGGUGCUUGCACCUCUUGAGAGCGGCGGACGGGUGAGUAAUGCCUAGGAAUCUGCCUGGUAGUGGGGGAUAACGUCCGGAAACGGACGCUAAUACCGCAUACGUCCUACGGGAGAAAGCAGGGGACCUUCGGGCCUUGCGCUAUCGGAUGAGCCUAGGUCGGAUUAGCUAGUUGGUGAGGUAAUGGCUCACCAAGGCGACGAUCCGUAACUGGUCUGAGAGGAUGAUCAGUCACACUGGAACUGAGACACGGUCCAGACUCCUACGGGAGGCAGCAGUGGGGAAUAUUGGACAAUGGGCGAAAGCCUGAUCCAGCCAUGCCGCGUGUGUGAAGAAGGUCUUCGGAUUGUAAAGCACUUUAAGUUGGGAGGAAGGGUACUUACCUAAUACGUGAGUAUUUUGACGUUACCGACAGAAUAAGCACCGGCUAACUCUGUGCCAGCCGCCGCGGUAAGAC
rnacentral:rRNA from 1 species